AGACCCGAAACCCGGUGAUCUAGCCAUGGGCAGGUUGAAGGUUGGGUAACACUAACUGGAGGACCGAACCGACUAAUGUUGAAAAAUUAGCGGAUGACCUGUGGCUGGGGGUGAAAGGCCAAUCAAACCGGGAGAUAGCUGGUUCUCCCCGAAAGCUAUUUAGGUAGCGCCUCGUGAAUUCAUCUCCGGGGGUAGAGCACUGUUUCGGCUAGGGGGCCAUCCCGGCUUACCAACCCGAUGCAAACUGCGAAUACCGGAGAAUGUUAUCACGGGAGACACACGGCGGGUGCUAACGUCCGUCGUGAAGAGGGAAACAACCCAGACCGCCAGCUAAGGUCCCAAAGUCAUGGUUAAGUGGGAAACGAUGUGGGAAGGCCCAGACAGCCAGGAUGUUGGCUUAGAAGCAGCCAUCAUUUAAAGAAAGCGUAAUAGCUCACUGGUCGAGUCGGCCUGCGCGGAAGAUGUAACGGGGCUAAACCAUGCACCGAAGCUGCGGCAGCGACACUGUGUGUUGUUGGGUAGGGGAGCGUUCUGUAAGCCUGUGAAGGUGGCCUGUGAGGGUUGCUGGAGGUAUCAGAAGUGCGAAUGCUGACAUAAGUAACGAUAAAGCGGGUGAAAAGCCCGCUCGCCGGAAGACCAAGGGUUCCUGUCCAACGUUAAUCGGGGCAGGGUGAGUCGACCCCUAAGGCGAGGCCGAAAGGCGUAGUCGAUGGGAAACAGGUUAAUAUUCCUGUACUUGGUGUUACUGCGAAGGGGGGACGGAGAAGGCUAUGUUGGCCGGGCGACGGUUGUCCCGGUUUAAGCGUGUAGGCUGGUUUUCCAGGCAAAUCCGGAAAAUCAAGGCUGAGGCGUGAUGACGAGGCACUACGGUGCUGAAGCAACAAAUGCCCUGCUUCCAGGAAAAGCCUCUAAGCAUCAGG
rnacentral:rRNA from 1 species